rnacentral:lncRNA from 1 species
GUAUAUCAUUAUUGCAAGAAAAAAUUGAAGAAAGAAUAUAGUUCUAUUUAUCAAUAUUUGCAUCUUCCUUAAUGUAUAGAUUCUCCUCCGAAUCACAAUAAUUGACAUAUGUAUCGUCUUCUAUCUCAUCGUCAUUUAUGAACUAAUCAUCAUCUUCUGACUCAUCAAGAUUAAAUACAAAAUCAGCUUCAACUUCGUUAGACAGC